rnacentral:rRNA from 1 species
AUAACGACUCUCGGCAACGGAUAUCUCGGCUCUCGCAUCGAUGAAGAACGUAGCGAAAUGCAAUACUUGGUGUGAAUUGCAGAAUCCCGUGAACCAUCGAGUCUUUGAACGCAAGUUGCGCCCUAAGCCUUCUGGCCGAGGGCACGUCUGCCUGGG